GGGCAGAGUUCAGUGGUAGAGUGCAUGCCUCACAUGUGUGAGGCUCUGAGUUCAAUUCCCAGUACUGCCCA
rnacentral:tRNA from 1 species